rnacentral:rRNA from 1 species
UACGUAGGAUGCAAGCGUUGUCCGGAUUUACUGGGUGUAAAGGGUGCGCAGGCGGCUUAGUAAGUCAGAGGUGAAAGCCCGCAGCUUAACUGCGGAAAUGCCUUUGAUACUGCUAGGCUUGAAUAUGAUAGAGGCUCAUGGAAUAUGUGGUGUAGCGGUGAAAUGCGUAGAUAUCACAUAGAACACCAGUGGCGAAGGCGGUGAGCUGGGUCAUUAUUGACGCUCAUGCACGAAAGUGUGGGUAGCAAACAGG